AUUGAACGCUGGCGGCAGGCCUAACACAUGCAAGUCGAGCGCGCGGCGGACGGGUGAGUAAUGUCUGGGAAACUGCCUGAUGGAGGGGGAUAACUACUGGAAACGGUAGCUAAUACCGCAUACCAUAAGAUGUGCCCAGAUGGGAUUAGCUAGUAGGUGGGGUAAUGGCUCACCUAGGCGACGAUCCCUAGCUGGUCUGAGAGGAUGACCGUCCACACUGGGACUGAGACACGGUGCAGGCUCUUACGGGAGGCAGCAUUGGGGCAUAUUGCACAAUGGGCUCAAGCCAGAUGCAGCCAUGCCGCGUGUAUGAAGAAGGCCUUCGGGUUGUAAAGUACUUUCAGCGGGGAGGUGUUACCCGCAGAAGAAGCACCGGCUAACUCCGUGCCAGCCGCCGCGGUAAUUC
rnacentral:rRNA from 1 species